rnacentral:rRNA from 1 species
GUUUGUCGCGUUGUUCGUGAAAUCUCACGGCUUAACUGUGAGCGUGCGGGCGAUACGGGCAGACUUGAGUACUGCAGGGGAGACUGGAAUUCCUGGUGUAGCGGUGGAAUGCGCAGAUAUCAGGAGGAACACCGGUGGCGAAGGCGGGUCUCUGGGCAGUAACUGACGCUGAGGAGCGAAAGCGUGGGGAGCGAACAGGAUUAGAUACCCUGGUAGUCCACGCCGUAAACGGUGGGUACUAGGUGUGGGUUUCCUUCCUUGGGAUCCGUGCCGUAGCUAACGCAUUAAGUACCCCGCCUGGGGAGUACGGCCGCAAGGCUAAAACUCAAAGAAAUUGACGGGGGCCCGCACAAGCGGCGGAGCAUGUGGAUUAAUUCGAUGCAACGCGAAGAACCUUACCUGGGUUUGACAUGCACAGGACGCCGGCAGAGAUGUCGGUUCCCUUGUGGCCUGUGUGCAGGUGGUGCAUGGCUGUCGUCAGCUCGUGUCGUGAGAUGUUGGGUUAAGUCCCGCAACGAGCGCAACCCUUGUCUCAUGUUGCCAGCGGGUAAUGCCGGGGACUCGUGAGAGACUGCCGGGGUCAACUCGGAGGAAGGUGGGGAUGACGUCAAGUCAUCAUGCCCCUUAUGUCCAGGGCUUCACACAUGCUACAAUGGCCGGUACAAAGGGCUGCGAUGCCGCGAGGUUAAGCGAAUCCUUUUAAAGCCGGUCUCAGUUCGGAUCGGGGUCUGCAACUCGACCCCGUGAAGUCGG